CUUAACUGUUUUUUUAAGCUAUUCACAGAGUCAACACAUUUCAAGUCUAACCAGAGAAAGACACAUGCUCUUCAAUUUUAUCCUUUAGCGAGCAGCAACCAGUAAGCUUUAUCUUACCAUUUCGAAACCUACAAAAGGUUUCGAAAGGUCUACAUGUCACAAAGGGUCACAGUGAUAAUGAAAGAGUGUUGGCAUAGUGUCAUUUUCUGGUUAGCUUGGGCCUUUCUCUUUCCUGGAUCUGUAAAUCCUGUAUAGAUUUCCUACAGGUCCUCUUACAAUCCAAAGACAUGUUUGGUAAAUUGGUAAGUGGCUUAAGGUGUGGCUGCGAGGUAGAUAAAUAUUUAGUGCACAUGAAUAUAUGGGAAAAAAUUAUACCUAGCUUAAAGUGUAAAGCUCUCUGAGUGAUCAGUGAGACUAGAAAAGCUCUAUGAAGUCCAUUUAAGCUAGAUCUUUAAUGGAGAAAGGUGUGUGAUUCUGUAAGGUAAUCACAAUUAUUUCGAACUAGAAUCUGAAUUUGACUUGGAAAGAGUUUCACGGGACCUCUUGGUCAAAGGUUUUGCAGACUCAUUCUGAAUCACUGCUUAAAAAUCCCAGGAUGGUUUGCAAACUGAGAAAUUAAUUAAAGCAGCCUAAAUGAAAUGGAAAAAAAAAGUAGCAUGAAUAAUCACCUUUGUCACAGCCUGAGUUUCAAAAUAUCUUUUACAUGCAAAAAGAAGAAACAAAUCUUACACUGUGGUGAGACCCCAAGAAUUCUGACUGACACUUCCUGCUACUUGGUGUCACAAACGGACACACACACAGGGACACAAAUAAAAACCUCAUCAUUUUUGCAUCACAUUUUACACGAUAAUUUCUAAUUAGACAGACAUAUUAAAAUGGUUAAAGGUUUGUAACAGAAUAUUCUUUACAAACCCCUCAUAAAAAUACCUUUCAUUUUGUGCUCAACUGCAAAUGAUUACCAACAGCAAAAGUACAGCAGGAGUGCCAUGAUGUGAGUGAGUGUGUGGUAUUCUUCCAUUUGAGUCCUGUGAGUUCCUGUCUCCGCCCAUGUGGAUGAGGCUCUGGUUCCUCACCUGCUUCUCUCACCUGUAAUCCAUUGACGGCAAUCAGCGACCCUUAAAGCCAGCGCAAUCCUGCACUCUUUGAUAGUUUGUCAGCUACCUCAUGGUGGUAACUAGGCCUCCUUGGCUCCCACAGCUCAUGUUUGGGUUGGUUGGUUGGUUGGUUGGUUGGUUGGGGGGGGGGGUUGCCUUGUACUUACUCCCAUCUCCUUGUGUCCCUAGUUCUCUUGCCUCCAAUUAACCUCACCUACAGUGUAAUGUCUUGGAUGCUGGCCACACCUGGUAACACUCUCCAAACCUGCUUGCAGCCCCUUUCCUGAAAACAGCACUACUCACUGGACUAGCUUGCCAUCACUCCUGGAUUCCUGGAAUCACAAGGUUGGAACCUCACCUUUCACACACCCCUCCAUUCAGCCAGACGCUCACUCGGCUACCCUCCCGAAGCCUCUCACCUCCCACCUGCAAUGCCUCCGUGCCAGAGACCUUUGCUACGUUCCUCUCGUCGCCUUUUGUACAUGUUUCCUGUGCACAAUAAAACCUUGUUAAAUAUCA